rnacentral:lncRNA from 1 species
CUGGUGACUAUGGAAAAUGAAAGCAAGUUCACGCUGACAAUGCCCGUAAAGAGCUUUGUGAAGCCAUGACAGUGCUCUUCAAUUUUAACAUGAAGAAGAGGGCAUGUGAGUUAGCAAGACUGGCCAGAGGCCAGAGCCCGGGGCCAGCAAACCUUUCCCUGCUGUGAGGUGGGCAAGUUAGUUGCUCCAAAAACAAGAUAAAAUGAUUGAGUUCUUUUCUCAAGCGGGAGUCGGAGUUUAUCUGCUCUGAGAAAUAUUGAUGUUAAAGAGGAAACUAACUUUCUGAACCAUUAAAUGUAAUAUCAUUUAUCUCACCAAAUCCCAAGAUAGAGCCCCAGCAGCUACUAUUAAUGAGUGUCUGGAAUAUGUUCCUGGCAUUUCACCUACCCUCUCUCCAAUCCUUCCAAGAAACUCACAAAGCAGGGCUUUUUCUUGAACUUCUCUUCCUCACAACAGUUAAAUCAUCCAUUUAAAGAUGUCAAACAACCUCCGUGUUCUAAGAUGUCUCUGUGUUAGGAAAACUUGGAUAAGCAGGUCCAUAGAAAUUCCUCUGCUAGCCCUGUCUCCUGGAAUUUCUACAUAAUGGCAUAUCCUCAGUUUGAAGCUGAAAAGGUUAAAUUCUACCUGAAGGAUGAAAACAACCAACAUUCUGUGCCAAGACAGUCAGGAGGGCAACCAUGUUUCCUGGUGGAGCCUCUGGAACCACUCAAGCCAAGAUGACCGGGGGUUUGGCUGGGAGGAGAUGGGGAAACUACAGACCCUACAGAUGGUUUCCUGUACCAUGAGGUUAAGCCUGGGGGCAGGAGAGGCUGUACCUUAGUUCCUUCAUCUGUAAAAUAAAGUAACAUAGUACCUACCUCA